GACGAACGCUGGCUGCGCGCUUAACACAUGCAAGUCGAACGGAAAGGCCUGCUUUCCCUGGUGGACUGCGGGUACUCGAGUGGCGAACGCGUGAGUAACACGUGCGUGAUCUGUCCCUAACUUGGGUAUAAGCCUGGGAAACUGGGUCUAAUUCUCGAGAGUACUGCAGGGUGGUGCCUGUUGUCGAAAACGAUUUUCUAGUUGUCGGCGAUUGGCUCGCGGUCUGUCAGCUUGUGGGUGGGGUAAUUGCCUACCAAGGCGGCGACGGGUAGCCGGCCUGAGAGGGUGGACGGCCACAUUGGGACUGAGAUACGGCCCAGACUCCUACGGGAGGCAGCAGUGGGGAAUAUUGCACAAUGGGCGGAAGCCUGAUGCAGCGACGCCGCGUGGGGGAUGACGGCCUUCGGGUUGUAAACUCCUUUCGACCGCGAGGAAGCCACCUGGUUGGAAGGGUGGUGACGGUAGUGGUAGAAGAAGCACCGGCUAACUACGUG
rnacentral:rRNA from 1 species